GCUGAAACACACGGGAGUCCCGGGAGCGGGGCUGAGAGUGGGCACACAUCCUGCCCUGACCGUCACACCUGAUCCGGGUCAUGCCGGCGAAGGGAGCAGACGAUGUCGAAUG
rnacentral:ncRNA from 1 species